CACCCAGAGGGUCAUGACCACCUUGCUCAACCGCCUUCUGAAGGACACCAGCAUUGGCCCCAGUUUCCUUGGGUGUGCAACCACAGCCUUCAGGUCCGUGAGGCAAGGCGA